rnacentral:rRNA from 1 species
UGGGGAAUAUUGCACAAUGGGGGAAACCCUGAUGCAGCGACGCCGCGUGAGCGAAGAAGGGAUUCGUCUCGUAAAGCUCUGUCCUAUGGGAAGAUAAUGACGGUACCAUAGAAGAAAGCCCCGGCUAACUACGUGCCAGCAGCCGCGGUAAUACGUAGGGGGCGAGCGUUGUCCGGAAUCAUUGGGCGUAAAGGGUUCGUAGGCGGUAAUGCGUGUCAGAUGUGAAAUCUUGUGGCUUAACCACAUUAAGCAUCUGAAACUGCAUAACUUGAGUGAAGGAGAGGUAAGUGGAAUUCCUAGUGUAGCGGUGAAAUGCGUAGAUAUUAGGAGGAAUACCAGUAGCGAAGGCGACUUACUGGCCUUUAACUGACGCUGAGGAACGAAAGCGUGGGUAGCAAAC